GUGGAUUCUUAACCGCUGCGCCACCAGGGAAGCCCCUGAAUCAGUUUCUUAAUAACCAGUAGGGCCUUGACUAGAAAGGAUUAUACAAAUAUCAUGUUAAGUGCUGUGAUUAUAGCACCUAUAGGAAGAGUGAUGAUUUACUUGGUAUUUGAGCACCUGCCACAUACUACACACUAUUCUAAGCACUUAGGAUAUGGUGGCAAAUAAGACAGAUGUUGCCCUUACAGGGUUUAAAUUCUAGUGGAGAAGAUAGAGAAUAAAUAGGUUCACAUAAGUAAUAUACUUUCAGAUAGUGGUUCGUACUGUGAAGCUAGGAAGAAAGUAAAAUAGGUAAGGGGCUAGUGACUGGGGUUAUGUGUGGAGUUAGGUGGGAUGGUCAGGGAAGAUCUCUGAGGAAGGUGAAGGAGGCUACUAUGUGCAAAUGCUAUGUGAAGGCAGUGGAAGUACUUUCCAAGCAGUGUAGGUGAAAUCUAUAUUUUGGCUGAGCUGCGCAGCAUAGUUCUACUAGGGAGCGAACCCUCUCCCUUUGCAGUGGAAGCGUGGAGUUUUAACCACUGGACCACCAGGGAGGUCCCAUGAAUGUGAAAUUCAGGCAGAGGCCAAAUUGUGUGGAUUUUGGGAGGCUGGGAAGAUGGGAGUCAUAUUGUAGAGGGUAUUGCAUAUCAUAACAAGAAAUUUGAAAGUUUAUUUACUGUUUUUAAUCAGGAGGAAACAUCAGACUCAACUAUGUGGUUUAUUCAAAGUGUCCAUGUCCAGGCAUCACUAAGGUCAUUCUGAAUCAGUCUUGAGUUGGGAGUCUAUUCUGGGCAAUGGGGAGCCUCUGGAGGUUGGUAAACAAAGAAUUGCACGGUCAGAUCUAUGCUUAAAAAGCUUAUUCAAGAAAUCCUUAAAUUAGAGGCCAUACCUUUUACGUAAACUCAGUGGCUGAUUUAUACUAUGCAUGCAAUAAAUAACAGUUGAAUGAAUGAAAGAAUGUAUUGAAGAGAGUAGAAGCUGAGAGACCAUUUAUGUGUAGUAGAUUGAUGGCUUGCAAUAGGCCAGGAGAGGUGUUUUUAGUGUUGGGGCCUCUGUCUCCUUUGCUAAUUUGGUGUUGGGGCAGUCUGGAAGAUGGAGGCACAAAGAGAUAUUACUACCCAAUUUCUGCUGAGUAUGACUGGACUCAGAAUUUCACUUACGUUAUCUCAUUUAAUCUUCAUAGGCUUCUGCUCUUUGCUAACUGCUUGACUGUACUGCUAGAGUAGAAUGGCGAGAUGUUUAUGUUCAGCAUAUUGCUGUGGGUUUUUGUACUCAGUACCUAUUAAUUGAGCUGCAUCUUUAUGUUAAAUGUUGGGGGCGGGGGAGAGAGGAGCACAUGUGUCUGUGUACAGCGGUUCUGUCUAGCCACUGGCUUCAACGUGUGCAAACCGUGUGUAAUGGGCCCCACCACUAACAAACCAGGACAUUUGAGCAGAGUGGUUUAUAGUUUAUAAUUGGCUUCCUAUUACUGUUGGCUGAUUCUCCUGCACAGAGAGUAUUACUCCAGGAUUGGUAUUUGAUUUAAGAAAUUUUCAAAUUGAUUUUAUCUUCAGUGCAUUAAUGCGUGGCCUAAAUUCUUGCAGAGCCAUUAGAUAACCAGCCUGGACAUGCUUUAGCAAUUGUAACUGGAUCUGAGCUGGCAGUGCUACAGCUUUUAUUCAGCAUAGAUAAAUCACUUUUCUGAAAACUCUUUUCUGCUUAAGCCCUGUGACUUAUUUUUUAGGACACCUCAAGUUUAGGCCCCUUGAAACUGGAAUAUAUUCCCCAAAUCAUGCUAAGACACACAAACAGGAAUUUGUUAACACAAGUAGAGUUAAUCUCUAUCUUCCUGUCAGAACAGAACACAAAUAUUCAAGGAAUGGUGUGGAAAUCAGCGUAAUUUUCAAGCGUGCACAAUUGUAAUGCCUUUUAAAAUCUGGAAAUGUGAAAUGUGACUCCAGUAAUGAAAAUGCUAUAAACGUAACUGAGUACAUGGAAAACUGGAGGAUGUUCUGCAAUUUCAUGAGGAUUAGCAUAGGUAAAUGUUUUUCGUGAAACAUUUUUUUUCAGCUCCAGAAGUGCAGAAUAGAUCACAGCUGCAUGAAAAUACCAAUCAUCUUCUAAUGCUUUUAUGCAAAUGAUUAUAUUUGACUUUCACUUAGAGUUGCCAUUAACACCUGGAACCCUAAGAUUGAUAACAGGUAAAAUUUUAAUGAAUACACAAAUUAGAGAUUUGAAUCAUGUUUAGAUUAAUUUAUAGUACCUUUAUUCAUUACUGCAAAUCCUCUUGAAAUCUAAAAAUCACAGGAUGAGACAGAAAAUAGAGAAGAGGAGACAGCCUUUGAACUUAUCAAUUUUUUUGAGUGGUGAAAAAGGAUGACUUGGAAAUACUAAACCCUGCAAGUGUUUUUUUCUGCCCUUUGCAAUAAUUUGCCCAGAUGCUAGGCCUGCGUAUCCUGCAGAAGACUUUUAUUGUCUCAUGCCCUGAGAUAACACUGGUCUUCUUUUUUUUUUUUUUUAAUGAUUUUUCUUCCUAUGCACACUCCUUGCUUUAAAAAAUAUUUUUUAAAAAAGUGAAAGUCAAAAUUGUCUUGUUUUAGACGUUUUGGGAAAUACAGAGGAUGUGAAGAAAAAAAACAUUGUCCUGACAUCCAGGGACAACCAUUAUUAUAUGGUGUGUCUUUUCCCCUCCUUACCCCCAUGUAUAAUUGUAUUUAUAUAAUUAUGUAUCUUCCUUUUCCACUUACAAAGCCAAAAUAGUAUUUACAUUUAUUGAAAGUUUACCAUGUGCCAGGCACUGUGCGUAGUGUUUUAAGUGUAUUAUCUAUUGAGUGGUAGAUAAUAUUACCUUCAUUUUACAGAUUAGGACAUGGAAGCUCAGAAAGGGUGAGGAAACUGCAAUUCACAAAGGUUAUUUGUCAACAUCAUCCAGCAAGUGACUGACAACACUGGGAUUUGAAUGGAGCUCUGCCUGGUUUGCCUGUUGUCGGCUGAGCCCCAAGAGAAGCACACUGGGCCCACAAAGCUUUCUUUCCAGCUGAGGCUUAGAGGUUGCCAAUCCAACCUGGAGUCUUGUGCUUCUUUGCCAAACAAUGCAGGUGCUCCGUGGGUCCAGGCCCAUGGCUUCGUUGAGUACACAUCCCUGGCAGCAGCAGCCACUAAGAGGUGAUUCUUUGUCCACUACCCAGUUGGGGAACUGCUCGUCUCAGUACAGAACCUGCUUCCCCCUGCUUAUACCUUUUAAAAAGCAUGUUGUUAGGUUCAUACAAAUUUAGAAUUGUUAUAUCUUCCCGGUAAAUUGGAUUUUUAUCAUUAUGAAAUGACCACCCCUCUCCAUUAUGAGAUGUUUUGGGCUUUAAAGUCUAUUUUAUUCUGUAACGAAUCUAGCCAUGUCAGCUUUCUUUUGUUUAGUAUUUGUAUAACAUGCUUUUUCUACCUUUCCACUGUCAACCUUUUUUGUAUAUUUAUUCUUUAGGUAUAUUUCUUAUAGACAAUAUAUAGUUGGAUUUUUAUUAUCUACUCUGGCAAUCUUUGCCUUUCAAAUGAAAUAUUUAUUUUUUAAACCUCAAGAUAAUCUUACCAUUAUUUACAGUCAAUAUUCAUUUAGACGUUUUACUUGGGAUCAUUUUUUGUCUGCCUGUAAUAAAACAUUUAGAAUGUCUUUAGUGUAUUUGAUCUUCUAGUGGCAAACUGUUUCAGUUUUGUUUGUCUGAAAAUGUCACCUUUAUGGUUGGUUUUCUCCUCAAUGCCUAACAUGUUGGAAGAAAACAAAUGUCAAUUCAGAAUUCUACACCCAGCAAAAAUAUCCUUCAGGAAUGAAGACAAAAUAAAGACAUAUCAUCAUUCCACUGAACCCUUAGUUCUUUCCACCUGCUCUUCCCUACCAAUCCCAAGAAUCUGGGCAGAGACCACAAAGAUAUUGAGCUUAUCUAAGACUCAUCUUUUUACUUCAUCUCAUAUCCUGAUUUCCCGUUAAGUCCUGUAAACUGUAUUACAAUCUAACCACUUCUUACUUCCUCCACUUCUACUACCUUAGCUUAAACUACUGUCAUCUCUCACCCAAACUGUAGCAAUAGCUUCCUAAUUGGUCUCUCUGCUUCCUCUCUUACCACCCACAUGAUGUUGACACAACAUCCUUUUAUAAUGCAAAGGAGAUAUUGUUAUUUUCUGCUCAGAACCCUCGGAUGUCUUCCCAUCACAUUUAGCAUCAAAUGCAAACUCUGUGCAUAGUGUCCGUGAUGUAGCUUCUCCCUACCUCUCUCACUUCAUUUCCUACCACACUCCUCCUUGUUCACUGAGCUCCAGCCACACUGGACUCCUGCUGUUCCUCACUCAUGCCCAGUUUGCUUCUAUCUCAGGAUCCUCCCAGGUACUCCUGCUUCUGCCUGGAGUGUUCCCCCCAGAGGGAGCCCGCCUCCCUCCCUCACUUCAUUCCCACCUCUGCUCAAAUGUUAACUCAUCAGCGAGGGUUUCCCUGAACUCCCUAAAAUAAAAUUCUCUCAUUCUCUAUCCUCUACUCUGCUUUAAUUUUCUUCCUAACAAUGAUAACUUCCUGACCGUAUGUCAUAUGUACUAGAAUAUAAACUCAAGGAGGACAAUAACUUUAUUUUAUUCAUUGUAUUCGUCCCUUGUGUCUCAAAUAGUCCCUGGCAGGGAGGAGGUUUUCAAUAAAUACCUGCUGAAUAAAUGGAUCUGCACAGCUGUCUAUGUUAUAAUGAGAAUGCAUAUUAAAAUAUUUUAAUGCAAAUAUAGCCCAAGUAUCUAACCUCAUCAGCUUGUUACUACAAAGUUGGGUUUAAUUGCCUGAUUGCCUUUUCAUAUUCAACCUGUAAUGA